rnacentral:rRNA from 1 species
UAUUAUACUAAAAAGCAAAGAUAAGUAAACCAGAUUAUUAAUAGGUAUGUUCUUUAAAUUCAAAGAAUUUGGCGGUGAUUUAGUCUUGUCAGAGGAACCUGUUUUUGAAUCGAUAUUCCACGUAAAAUCUUACUCGUUUUUGUUUUCAGCCUAUAUACCGUCAUUAACAGAUAAUUUUAAGAGAAUAAAUUGUUGAAAUUUAUAGUAAGAUAAGUUAAAUUAGAUCAAGGUGUAGCUAAUAAAUGAGUUAAAAUGGGUUACAAUAAAGUUUAUUUAUGAUGGAAUAGCUAGAGAAUAUGAGCUAGGAAGGAGGAUUUGAUUGUAAUGCGAAUUUAAUAUGUUUGAAUGAUAUGAGCUCUAAAUCAU